rnacentral:rRNA from 1 species
UACGGAGGGGGCAAGCGUUGUUCGGAUUUACUGGGCGUAAAGGGCUCGUAGGCGGCCAACUAAGUCAUACGUGAAAUCCCUCAGCUUAACUGGGGAACUGCGUGUGAUACUGGAUGGCUUGGAUGUGGGAGAGGGAUGCGGAAUUCCAGGUGUAGCGGUGAAAUGCGUAGAUAUCUGGAGGAACACCGGUGGCGAAGGCGGCAUCCUGGACCAUUAUUGACGCUGAGGAGCGAAAGCCAGGGGAGCAAACGGG